rnacentral:misc_RNA from 1 species
AAAUAACAUUCGUGAAUUUUUUCGCGGAUUUGAGUUUUCCAGUAUUUAAUUAUAAAUGUUGGUAACUUUAAAAUUAUUUAUUACUUGGUACAAGUUGAAAACGUACUAUAUGUGGUUCGCUGACAACUUGUCCAUCUUUAUAUAUUAUGUGCGCACUUUGACUUUAUACUUUGUGCGAGCAUAUAUUUUUU